AGUGAACGCUGGCGGUAGGCCUAACACAUGCAAGUCGAACGGCAGCACAGUAAGAGCUUGCUCUUACGGGUGGCGAAUGGCGGACGGGUGAGGAAUACAUCGGAAUCUACUUUUUCGUGGGGGAUAACGUAGGUAAACUUACGCUAAUACCGCAUACGACCUACGGGUGAAAGCAGGGGAUCUUCGGACCUUGCGCGAUUGAAUGAGCCGAUGUCGGAUUAGCUAGUUGGCGGGGUAAAGGCCCACCAAGGCGACGAUCCGUAGCUGGUCUGAGAGGAUGAUCGGCCACACGGGAACUGGGACACGGUCCAGACUCCUACGGGAGGCAGCAGUGGGGAAUAUUGGACAAUGGGCGCAAGCCUGAUCCAGCCAUACCGCGUGGGUGAAGAAGGCCUUCGGGUUGUAAAGCCCUUUUGUUGGGAAAGAAAAGCAGCAGGUUAAUACCCCGCUGUUCUGACGGUACCCAAAGAAUAAGCACCGGCUAACUUCGUG
rnacentral:rRNA from 1 species